rnacentral:rRNA from 1 species
UAUUGAAGGACAAGAAGACCCUGUCGAGCUUUUAAAUUAAAGUAGGUGUAAAUUAUUAACAAAAUCAAUGAACUGCAUUACAUUUUUAGUUGGGGCGACGAAGGAACAAACAAAGCUUCUUUUAUUUUUAUAAAUUUAUAGGUUUAGAUCCAGCAAAGC